rnacentral:rRNA from 1 species
AACGAACGCUGGCGGCAUGCCUAACACAUGCAAGUCGAACGAGAUCUUCGGGUCUAGUGGCGCACGGGUGCGUAACGCGUGGGAAUCUGCCCUUUGGUUCGGAAUAACAGUUGGAAACGACUGCUAAUACCGGAUGAUGACGAAAGUCCAAAGAUUUAUCGCCAGAGGAUGAGCCCGCGUAGGAUUAGCUAGUUGGUGUGGUAAAGGCGCACCAAGGCGACGAUCCUUAGCUGGUCUGAGAGGAUGAUCAGCCACACUGGGACUGAGACACGGCCCAGACUCCUACGGGAGGCAGCAGUGGGGAAUAUUGGACAAUGGGCGAAAGCCUGAUCCAGCAAUGCCGCGUGAGUGAUGAAGGCCUUAGGGUUGUAAAGCUCUUUUACCCGGGAUGAUAGUGACAGUACCGGGAGAAUAAACUCCGGCUAACUCCGUGCCAGCCGCCGCAGUAA